UUCCUUGCUAACAUUGUAAAUUAACUCAUCUAGAUUCCUUGAGACCGUGUUUAGUGUAAGGGACUGCAAGGAAGCGAAGAAGCCUAAAUCAAGACAAUUCAUGUCAGGUGAGUUUGGAGGUUGAUUCAUGAGUCUUAUAUUCAGUCCUGUUUGAGCUGCAGCGAUUACAAACUCGGGAUCAUCAUGACGAACAUGAGUCCUCGCAUUGUCCUGCUGAAUCCAUAUAGUUCUAUGUGCUUCUGAUCUAGGCCAACUUGCUUUGAUAGCUGGUAGAACUUUGGCAAUAAGAAAUGAUCGCAUAGUGUUUCUGUCAACAUUGAUGCACUUGGUCACUAGUGUUCCUCUGUCCCUAUUACGGCUUCUCCUUUGUGCUGGUUCCUAAUGGCAUGAAACAAAUAAUCAAUUAGUUAAAGUUAAUAACAACGAAGUUAACAUCAAAAUGUGUUGUGAUACCUUUCUAACAAAAGGCCAAAUGCCUAUUUUUCCAUUAAAGAUUAGGUUACCUUCGUCAUCCUUUUUUGGUUUGCCAACUGCUCCCAAGAACAUCAAUUUAUCUAUUGAAUUUUUGUUUUGAACUGUCCUAUAUGGGUCCUCCUCUUCUGGUAGCAUGUAAAAAUUUCUUGUCUUUUUUGUUGCAUUGAACCACUUCUCAUCGAUAUGGAUAACAUUAUCCAUUUCAAUGAAUUUGGGAUUGUUUGGCAAAGUACUUUGGUCUAGCAUUGAAAGGCACCAUCUUAGCCUCUCUUUUUUGUUUUCUUCCUUUAAACAAGGUUUCAAUGAGUUUGAGUGUCUUCUUAAAAGGCCAUUUUUGAAUUGCCUAUGUAACCAACUUUUGCUUACACUAAGUUCACGUGCUAGUUUUCGUAUAGUACUCCUCUUAUGAAAGGGGAUUGUAGCAAUUGUUGAUAGAUCAACUGACUUUUUUUUGUUGCCACAACGCUUUGGUUUCCUUGAUGAAACAUCAACUGGCUCACCACGUUGACAGCAUCCCUUUGCUCUAUUCCAAAUACGCUGGACUGUACGAAGGCUAACAUUGAACUGGUUUGCAACUAUCGUUGUGCUGUUCUUUCUUUGUUUUCCAUUAUUACUCCUCGCCAGUAGUGCUUCAUAUAUUUGUUGCCUUUGUGUAUGUGACAGAUCUAGUCUACCGGGCUGAAUUUCAUGCUCUUCUUCAUUGUCUUCUGAAUCCGACAACUCAUCUUGAUCGAACACAAUGUCAACAUCGGCAUAAACCCCAUAAUCAUUAAGGUUCUCUUGUUGUUCAUCCAUUGGGAUAUUUAGAUCAAAAGAAUGGAGUAUUUGAUGUGGAGAAACAAAAGGAAAGACUCCACCAGCCUCAGGCUGGUGAGUGCUUUAAAGGCUGGAGGUAGAGUGUGUUUUAUAGCCGUGAGAAAGGAGCAGUGGCAGAGUGGCAGACCAGCGGCAGACCAGCGGCAGUUUCAAAUAUUGAAUGUUUUUCGUUUUUGUUAAUGUGUUUGGCGCGUGUGCCUGUUUUUCGUUUUUGUUAAUGUGUUUGGCGCGUGUGCCUGUGUACACAUUUCUACUUUUGGCGCCUGAUGGAUAAAAAAUCAAUAAAUGCUGAGAUGACUAGCUACAUCAUCCGUAUGUGACACAAGAAUCUUUACAUUUAAUGGAGGGUAUUCUUGUAAUCUCUCAUGUUACUACUCUAACGCCUUGCAAUGCUAAAACGACUUGCUUCACUGGACGGAGGGAGUAAUUUCUUUGUUUUUCGUAGCAUACAAAACUCGUCUGUCAGCAACUCUCCACAAAGUAUAAAUUAUAUCAACAAAAGAAUGCAUAUUAACACAAGUAAAACUUUGUGGUAAACAAUAUCCACUGGUCUGUACGUAGCUGUAAAUAACGCCACUUGCUGCUUAUAUAUAUAUAACUUAACAGACAACAGAUGGCACGUGGUAUUCCUCCGUUUCUACA